rnacentral:rRNA from 1 species
UACGUAGGGUGCAAGCGUUGUCCGGAAUUAUUGGGCGUAAAGAGCUUGUAGGCGGUUUGUCGCGUCUGCUGUGAAAUUUCGGGGCUCAACCCCGAACUUGCAGUGGGUACGGGCAGACUAGAGUGUGGUAGGGGAGACUGGAAUUCCUGGUGUAGCGGUGAAAUGCGCAGAUAUCAGGAGGAACACCGAUGGCGAAGGCAGGUCUCUGGGAAACAACUGACGCUGAGGAACGAAAGCGUGGGGAGCAAACAGG